GUGAAUCAUCGAAUUUUUGAACGCAAAUUGCACUCCCUGGUAUUCCGGGGAGUAUGCCUGUUUGAGGGUCGUUAGAAGAAAAAUCGAAGCAUCGCUCUUUUUUUUGAGGGUGAUCGCGUCGGAAUUGAGCCGUCUUUCAAAUGUAAUUCAUGGCAAAAUGGCGUAAAAUUAUGUCAUUCGGUACGGUUAAAGCGU
rnacentral:misc_RNA from 1 species